GACGAACGCUGGCGGCGUGCCUAAUACAUGCAAGUAGAACGCUGAAGAGAGGAGCUUGCUCUUCUUGGAUGAGUUGCGAACGGGUGAGUAACGCGUAGGUAACCUGCCUUGUAGCGGGGGAUAACUAUUGGAAACGAUAGCUAAUACCGCAUAACAAUGGCUGACACAUGUCAUUUAUUUGAAAGGGGCAAUUGCUCCACUACAAGAUGGACCUGCGUUGUAUUAGCUAGUAGGUGAGGUAACGGCUCACCUAGGCGACGAUACAUAGCCGACCUGAGAGGGGGAUCGGCCACACUGGGACUGAGACACGGCCCAGACUCCUACGGGAGGCAGCAGUAGGGAAUCUUCGGCAAUGGGGGCAACCCUGACCGAGCAACGCCGCGUGAGUGAAGAAGGGUUUCGGAUCGUAAAGCUCUGUUGUAAGUCAAGAACGAGUGUGAGAGUGGAAAGUUCACACUGUGACGGUAGCUUACCAGAAAGGGACGGCUAACUACGUG
rnacentral:rRNA from 1 species